rnacentral:misc_RNA from 1 species
UUUCCGUACGGAGGGGAGUACUCCCUGACAACUGCGGCGUACCCGUCAAUACGGAUCAGGCCAGAUCCCGGGGCGUCGGCCCACAAGUGGGUGGAAGAGACCUCCGGCAGCGCG